rnacentral:rRNA from 1 species
AUUGAACGCUGGCGGCAGGCCUAACACAUGCAAGUCGAGCGAGAGGCGGACGGGUGAGUAAUGUAUGGGGACUGCCCGAUAGAGGGGGAUAACUACUGGAAACGGUGGCUAAUACCGCAUACUAUCGGAUAACCCCCAUGGGAUUAGCUAGGAGGGGGGGUAAAGUCUCACCAAGGCGACGCUCUCUAGCUGGUCUGUGAGGAUGAUCAGCCAGCCUGGGACGGAUACACGGCCCAGACUCCAAGGGGGGCAGCAGUGGGGAAUAUUGCUCAAUGGCCGCAAGCCUGAUGCAGCCAUGCCGCGUGUAUGAAGAAGGCCUUAGGGUUGUAAAGUACGUUCAGCGGGGAGGCGUUACCCGCAGAAGAAGCACCGGCUAACUCCGUGCCAGCAGCCGCGGUAAUUC